UCAUCCCAUAUUUGCUAACAUUGCUUUCCUUUCUCCUUCUACACCAGUCUGAAUACAGCUAACUGUCCUGAAAGAAUGAGACUUAGAAAGCAUGUUGAGCUUUUCUUGUUUUGUUUUUGCUCGAGUCAGAUUUCUUUAAAAAAAAUUCAGGAUCCAUGCUCACGUAGGUUCAUGGCACGGAUGAGUUUGUAAGUUACACUGUAUCAGAAAGGGAGAGAUGGGAUGGUGUUUAAUUCCAUAAAUACAGCCAUCUGUGCCCUCCCCUGUAUAUGUCUCUGUCUUCUCAAUCCCCACCCCAUAUACACUCUUGGCUUAAGUUUUUACAGGGAUUUGAUGCUUUCCAGGGGCACAGUCAGCACAAAUCUAAUCGGCAUCAAUUAAUAACAGAAUAAUAAAACUGGUAGGUGGCAGCAGAAGAAGGAGCUAAUGCAGAUGGCAUCCGUGAACUGAGAGUGCUGCCAUAUGCGGAGAGAUGGAUUCCAAACAUUAGAUGAUGUAACGUGCAAAGAUGAAAGGCAGCUUCCUGGCUUGUCAGUCUGCAUGAGUUUUGAUGCUAGAUCCCCAGCUCUGAAGACUGAAGCGGUCUUGUCCCAGGAAAGGUUCUGUGACGCAUCCAAAGACCUUCCUCCUUGCAUCUUUUGUGUGUUGUGUUCCUUGAACUUUAUUUCUUCAGUUCUGAAGGGAAUGAGUCAGGUUGGCAUAAUAUCCAGAGAAUGAAACGAAACGGCAGCUGUCAUAACAAUGAAUUCAUCACGUAAUGGACAAAGCUCAAUAAAUUUUUUGUUUUAAAAUUUGUUUAUUGUGUU
rnacentral:lncRNA from 1 species